rnacentral:rRNA from 1 species
AGGGUUUGAUCCUGGCUCAGGAUGAACGCUGGCGGCGUGCUUAAUACAUGCAAGUCGAACGAAGCACCUCUCCCGAAGACAGACCCAGCUUGCUGGGGAUUGAUUCACCUGAGGUGACUGAGUGGCGGACGGGUGAGUAACGCGUGGGUAACCUGCCUUAUACAGGGGGAUAACAGUUGGAAACGACUGCUAAUACCGCAUAAGCGCACAGUACCGCAUGGUACAGUGUGAAAAACUCCGGUGGUAUAAGAUGGACCCGCGUCUGAUUAGCUAGUUGGUGAGGCAACGGCUUACCAAGGCAACGAUCAGUAGCCGACUUGAGAGAGUGAUCGGCCACAUUGGGACUGAGACACGGCCCAA